rnacentral:rRNA from 1 species
CCUACGGGAGGCAGCAGUAGGGAAUUUUCGUCAAUGGGCGCAAGCCUGAACGAGCAAUGCCGCGUGAACGAGGAAGGUCUUCGGAUCGUAAAGUUCUGUUGAAGGGGAAAAAGAGCGGAGAGAGGAAAUGAACUCCGAUUGAUAUUACCCUUCGAGGACGUCACGGCUAACUACGUGCCAGCAGCCGCGGUAAUACGUAGGUGGCGGGCGUUAUCCGGAUUGAUUGGGCGUAAAGGGUGCGUAGGGGGCCUGCUAAGUCUGGGGUGAAAGGUACCGGCUCAACCGGUACAGGCUCUGGAAACUGGCAAACUGGAGUGUGUGAGAGGAUAGUGGAAUGUCAGGUGUAGGAGUGAAAUCCGUAGAGAUCUGGAGGAACAUCAGUGGCGAAGGCGACUAUCUGGCACAUAACUGACGCUGAGGAGCGAAAGCGUGGGUAGCAAACAGGAUUAGAUACCCGAGUAGUC